CUGAGCCGAAAUCAAGAGUCAGACACUUAACUGACUGAGACACCCAGGCGCCCCUUAAAUAUCCCCAGUCCCUGCUGCCUCCAGCCUCCGAACCGACCACACUGCAGGCCUGGAGCACAACUAUCACAGAGACUGCUCACCUUGCACCCCCAGCGAGUGAACAUUCCAUAUACCUGUUUGAAACACCUCAGUGUGGAAGAAGCCUUGACCAACUAUGUGAGAACUUCUUCAUCCUCAGAAAAGAAAAAUAAUAUUGGUUCUGCCUCCUGGUGCUGGCAAGGAACACAAGAUAAUGAAUAUGCAAGUGCACACCGAAGAUUUCCAGGUCACUUCUGAACAGAUUUCCAAACCAUCAAAGAGCCAAGCAUUUAAAUGAAGCAAUUAAGCUUUAGGAAAACAACAUAAAAAUAAAAUUUGACUAAAAAAAUAAAAUUUGAGUAACUAUUCAACCUUAUUGGGCAUUCUGCCCAAUCAUCUUCCUAUUUUCUACCCAGUCUAAACUGCUUUCUC